AAUAAACUCCAUCUUUAACAGUCACACAGAUUUCAGCUGCUACACCUGGAGUUUGUCCUUCUCUUGUAGGAUGAGGUGAAUAUUCCCAGUAUUUAUUGGUGAAUUGUUGUGGGAGGAGCUUCACUGCAGGUGUGAACUGUGAUCACUGUGUGAUACUGACGCCCACAGGACCAGAUCU